CCUACGGGAGACAGCAGUGAGGAAUAUUGGUCAAUGGGCGCGAGCCUGAACCAGCCAAGUAGCGUGAAGGAUGACGGCCCUACGGGUUGUAAACUUCUUUUAUAAAGGAAUAAAGUGAGGCACGUGUGCCUUUCUGUAUGUACUUUAUGAAUAAGGAUCGGCUAACUCCGUGCCAGCAGCCGCGGUAAUACGGAGGAUCCGAGCGUUAUCCGGAUUUAUUGGGUUUAAAGGGAGCGUAGAGGGGUGGUUAAGUCAGUUGUGAAAGUUUGCGGCUCAACCGUAAAAUUGCAAUUGAUACUGGCAUUCGUGAGUAAACGUGAGGUAGGCGGAAUUCGUGGUGUAGCGGUGAAAUGCUUAGAUAUCACGCAGAACUCCGAUUGCGAAGGCAGCUUACUAAACUGCCACUGACAUUGAUGCUCGAAAGUGUGGGUAUCAAACAGGAUUAGAUACCCCAGUAGUC
rnacentral:rRNA from 1 species